rnacentral:misc_RNA from 1 species
GAUGAAGAACGUAGCGAAAUGCGAUACGUAAUGUGAAUUGCAGAAUUCAGUGAAUCAUCGAGUCUUUGAACGCACAUUGCGCCCCCUGGUAUUCCGGGGGGCAUGCCUGUCCGAGCGUCAUUGCUGCCCUCAAGCACGGCUUGUGUGUUGGGCCUCCGUCCUCCUCCCGGGGGACGGGCCCGAAAGGCAGCGGCGGCACCGCGUCCGGUCCUCGAGCGUAUGGGGCUUCGUCACCCGCUCUUGUAGGCCCGGCCGGCGCUUGCCGACACAUCAAUCUUUUUUCCAGGUUGACCUCGGAUCAGGUAGGGAUACCCGCUGAACUUAAGCAUAUCAAUACGAGGA